CCUUUGCGAGCCGCCGUCGCUCACAAGCGCGGAAGUAACCGGGAAAGGGCAACUCUCUCGCUCCAACCCCUGGCGGGGGCGGGUCUGCGCUGCUUCGCGAUGCGGAGAGCGAGUCGGAGCUUUCCUUUCGGGAUUUCCAAGCCGAGGGAUUGCUGCUCGCCUUUGGUUUGGCGGUCUUUGUUCUCCGGGGUCGGGAGACUGCCGGAACGAGCCCGGUCUCAUCUCUGGGCGGGGAGCGGGCGGCAGCAAGUUACCGACAGAGAGCAGGCGAAGAACAGUCGGAGGUGACCGAGUGGGUAUUAAAAACGAUUUGAAGAGAUUUCCUGGGCUUGGAGUGUGACUUUUUCCAAAACCACCUUUUCCUUGUGCUGUAUUUGUUGCAACAAUGUUUAAGAGAUUGACUCUUCCACAACUGGUUUUUGCUACUGUCCUUGGAAUUGCUGGAGGAGUAUAUAUUUAUCAACCAAUAUUUGAACAGUUGGCCAAAGAUCAGAAGGAAUUAAAAGAAAAGUUGCAAUUGGUACAAGAAUCAGAAGAGAAGAAAAGUUAAUACUACAUGGAGUUGAACUGUAAUAAUUGCUUACAGUUCCAUUGUAAUUAUGUUAACUGAAAAUAAUUAAAAACAUUGAUGUAUUUUAAUAUAACUAAAUCAUGGAUAAUGAUUUUUUAACCUGA